rnacentral:rRNA from 1 species
CCUACGGGGUGCAGCAGUGAGGAAUAUUGGUCAAUGGACGGAAGUCUGAACCAGCCAUGCCGCGUGCAGGAAGACGGCUCUAUGAGUUGUAAACUGCUUUUGUACAAGGGUAAACCUGAAUACGUGUAUUCAGCUGAAAGUACUGUACGAAUAAGGAUCGGCUAACUCCGUACCAGCAGCCGCGGUAAUACGGAUGAUCCAAGCGUUAUCCGGAUUUAUUGGGUUUAAAGGGUGCGUAGGCGGAUUGAUAAGUUAGAGGUGAAAUGUCCGAGCUUAACUUUGGGAUUGCCAUUAUAACUAUUAGACUAGAAUUACAGAGAGGAUAGUGGAAUACCCAGUGUAGAGGUGAAAUUCGUAGAUAUUGGGUAGAACACCAGUGGCGAAGGCGACUAUCUGGCUGUACAUUGACGCUGAGGCUCGAAAGCAUGGGGAUCAAACAGGAUUAGAUACCCCGGUAGUC